rnacentral:rRNA from 1 species
AGAGUUUGAUCCUGGCUCAGAACGAACGCUGGCGGCAGGCCUAACACAUGCAAGUCGAGCGCCCGCAAGGGAGCGGCAGACGGGUGAGUAACGCGUGGGAACGUGCCCUUUGGUUCGGAAUAUUCCCGGGAAACUGGGAGCAAAACCGGAUAAGCCCUUCGGGGGAAAGUUUACGCCAAAGGAUCGGCCCGCGUUAGAUUAGGUAGUUGGUGGGGUAACGGCCUACCAAGCCUACGAUCUAUAGCUGAUCUGAGAGGAUGAUCGGCCACACUGGGACUGAGACACGGCCCAGACUCCUACGGGAGGCAGCAGUGGGGAAUCUUGGACAAUGGGCGCAAGCCUGAUCCAGCCAUGCCGCGUGGAUGACUGAAGGCCCUAGGGUUGUAAAGUCCUUUCGACGGGGACGAUAAUGACGGUACCCGUAGAAGAAGCCCCGGCUAACUUCGUGCCAGCAGCCGCGGUAAUACGAAGGGGGCUAGCGUUGUUCGGAUUUACUGGGCGUAAAGGGCGCGUAGGCGGAUUUUUAAGUCGGGGGUGAAAUCCCGGAGCUCAACUCCGGAACUGCCUUCGAUACUGGAAGUCUGGAGCACGGUAGAGGUGAGUGGAAUUCCGAGUGUAGCGGUGAAAUGCGUAGA